rnacentral:rRNA from 1 species
UAAGUUUGAUGGCGACCGGCGCACGGGUGAGUAACACGUAUCCAACCUGCCGAUGACUCGGGGAUAGCCUUUCGAAAGAAAGAUUAAUACCCGAUGGCAUAGUUCUUCCGCAUGGUGGAACUAUUAAAGAAUUUCGGUCAUCGAUGGGGAUGCGUUCCAUUAGGUUGUUGGCGGGGUAACGGCCCACCAAGCCUUCGAUGGAUGGGGUUCUGAGAGGAAGGUCCCCCACAUUGGAACUGAGACACGGUCCAAACUCCUACGGGAGGCAGCAUG